rnacentral:rRNA from 1 species
AUUCUGGCUCAGGAUGAACGCUAGCGGCAGGCUUAAUACAUGCAAGUCGAGGGGCAGCACGAGGUAGCAAUACUUUGGUGGCGACCGGCAAACGGGUGCGGAACACGUACGCAACCUUCCCAUAACUGGUGAAUAGCCCUCCGAAAGGAGGAUUAAUACACCGUAACAUAAUGAAGUGGCAUCACUUUAUUAUUAUAGGCAGCAAUGUCGGUUUUGGAUGGGCGUGCGCCUGAUUAGGUAGUUGGCGGGGUAACGGCCCACCAAGCCUGCGAUCAGUAACUGGUGUGAGAGCACGACCAGUCACACGGGCACUGAGACACGGGCCCGACUCCUACGGGAGGCAGCAGUAAGGAAUAUUGGUCAAUGGACGAAAGUCUGAACCAGCCAUGCCGCGUGAAGGAUGAAGGCCCUCUGGGUUGUAAACUUCUUUUAUAGGGGACGAAAAAAGCUCAUUCUUGAGCACUUGACGGUACCCUAGGAAUAAGCACCGGCUAACUCCGUGCCAGCAGCCGCGGUAAUACGGAGGGUGCAAGCGUUAUCCGGAUUUACUGGGUUUAAAGGGUGCGUAGGUGGGUCUGUAAGUCAGUGGUGAAAUCUCCGGGCUUAACCCGGAAACUGCCAUUGAUACUAUAGGUCUUGAAUAUCCUGGAGGUGAGCGGAAUAUGUCAUGUAGCGGUGAAAUGCUUAGAUAUGACAUAGAACACCAAUUGCGAAGGCAGCUCACUACGGGAUUAUUAACACUGAGGCACGAAAGCGUGGGGAUCAAACAGGAUUAGAUACCCUGGUAGUCCACGCCCUAAACUAUGGAUACUCGACAUCAGCGAUACACUGUUGGUGUCUGAGCGAAAGCAUUAAGUAUCCCACCUGGGAAGUACGAUCGCA